rnacentral:rRNA from 1 species
AUUGAACGCUGGCGGCAUGCCUUACACAUGCAAGUCGAACGGCAGCACGGGUGCUUGCACCUGGUGGCGAGUGGCGAACGGGUGAGUAAUGCAUCGGAACGUACCUUAUCGUGGGGGAUAACGCAGCGAAAGUUGCGCUAAUACCGCAUACGCCCUGAGGGGGAAAGCGGGGGACCGUAAGGCCUCGUGCGAUUAGAGCGGCCGAUGUCUGAUUAGCUUGUUGGUGAGGUAAAAGCUCACCAAGGCGAUGAUCAGUAGCUGGUCUGAGAGGACGAUCAGCCACACUGGGACUGAGACACGGCCCAGACUCCUACGGGAGGCAGCAGUGGGGAAUUUUGGACAAUGGGGGCAACCCUGAUCCAGCAAUGCCGCGUGAGUGAAGAAGGCCUUCGGGUUGUAAAGCUCUUUUGUCAGGGAAGAAACAGCAGCUCUAACACAGUCUGCGAAUGACGGUACCUGAAGAAUAAGCACCGGCUAACUACGUGCCAGCAGCCGCCGUAA